rnacentral:rRNA from 1 species
GACGAACGCUGGCGGCGUGCUUAACACAUGCAAGUCGAACGGAAAGGCCCUGCUUUUGUGGGGUGCUCGAGUGGCGAACGGGUGAGUAACACGUGAGUAACCUGCCCUUGACUUUGGGAUAACUUCAGGCAACUGGGGCUAAUACCGGAUAGGAGCUCCUGCUGCAUGGUGGGGGUUGGAAAGUUUCGGCGGUUGGGGAUGGACUCGCGGCUUAUCAGCUUGUUGGUGGGGUAGUGGCUUACCAAGGCUUUGACGGGUAGCCGGACUGAGAGGGUGACCGGCCACAUUGGGACUGAGAUUGGGCCCAGACUCCUACGGGAGGGAGAGGUGGGGGAUAUUGCACAAUGGGCGGGAGCCAGAUGCAGCAACGCCGCGGGCGGGAUGACGGCCUUCGGGUUGUAAACCGCUUUCGCCUGUGACGAAGCGGGAGUGACGGUAAUGGGUAGAGGAGCACCGGCUAACUACGUU